rnacentral:lncRNA from 1 species
AGUCAAUUCAGAAUAAAGGGACUAAUUUAUAUUUGACCACUAGGUGUCACUGUUGGUGGUGGCGUGGGCGAUAAGUAGGGGGAGGGGAAUUGGAAGCAAUCUUAGGGGAUUUGGGGGGUUGAAACAUAAAAUACUCACAUCAUUGCCAUUCUCCCUCUCUAAGUACGGCAGGGUGGUAGGAAGGAAAGAGAGAAGUAUGAAGACACAGCUUUGGCAGCGGUUCGGUACUGACCGGCCCUCAGACCACCCUAGGAGACUGCUGACUGCAGAGCUGCAACCCCAACAGAAAUUGACUCUUCAAGUCCAUUUUAAUCAUUCCCUAACCACCUCGCAGGAAAACAGAAAAACGUCAAUGACUCCACGUUGGGAAAGCGAGGCUCUCCUCGGCCACGCCUGCCUGGUGCUGAAGAAAUCAGAUGAAUAAUUUAUAUCACAAAGCAGUGUGCGGGGUGUCAGCUCGUGUGUGAAGGGGCUCUGAGUGACGAGCUCUGGGCGCACGUCAGAAACAUCAUCUAUGAGGCCAACGUACAAAUCCAGGCGGAAGAGCCUCAGGAAGUGGAAUGGGAAUUUUUUUGUCAGCAACGGUCAGUGAAGUCCAAUUUACUUCUGGACUUGGCUGUGUGAAAUGGGAACUUUUCAAAGCCCAUGAAAAUCAAACAAUGAAAAGAGAUUUUCCUGAUGUCGUACUUGGCUCAGACUCCAAGGAUAGCAAGACGGGCAGUGCCUGCCUGGCCCCCGAAGGGAGAUCGUGCUUAUCUUCAGAACAGCCCAGGCCCGACGCCAAGCCUCACGGCCAGGGCAUAUCUUCUCCAGACAGCAUUUUGCACUUGCAUAUGAGCUGCAGCCUUUCCAAAAGUUGGGGAAAUCCUGCAAAGAAGGAACAUGGCAUCUGAUUCUUGGAAUAACAUUCUCUCUACACUCUUCCAGCUGCUGUGGAUACAUAUAAUGACUGAUUUUAUUUAAUAAGAAAGCUCAAAAUGUUUCCCAAUUCAAAACAUAACCCUGCAUGCUGUUCCCUCUAGUCUAACCAGAAAUCCCAUUCUCCUCCUCCUGUAACUCAAUAAACCAAAUCUAACUGGAGAAUAAUUAUAAAAUACACUGAUGUGCAAUUUGUUUCACUUGCUCAAUAAUUAAUUAAUACACUACUUACGGUUCAGAAGAGCUCUUAAG